rnacentral:rRNA from 1 species
UAUGGGAUGGGCCCGCGUCUGAUUAGCUAGUUGGUGAGGUAACGGCUCACCAAGGCGACGAUCAGUAGCCGGCUUGAGAGAGUGACCGGCCACAUUGGGACUGAGACACGGCCCAAACUCCUACGGGAGGCAGCAGUGGGGAAUAUUGCACAAUGGGGGAAACCCCGAUGCAGCGACGCCGCGUGAGUGAAGAAGUAUUUCGGUAUGUAAAGCUCUAUCAGCAGGGAAGAAGAAAGACGGUACCUGACUAAGAAGCCCCGGCUAACUACGUGCCAGCAGCCGCGGUAAUACGUAGGGGGCAAGCGUUAUCCGGAUUUACUGGGUGUAAAGGGAGCGUAGGUGGUGUGGUAAGUCAGAUGUGAAAGCCCGAGGCUCAACCACGGGACUGCAUUUGAAACUAUCAUGCUAGAGUACAGGAGAGGUAAGUGGAAUUCCUAGUGUAGCGGUGAAAUGCGUAGAUAUUAGGAGGAACACCAGUGGCGAAGGCGGCUUACUGGACUGUAACUGACACUGAGGCUCGAAAGCGUGGGGAGCAAACAGGAUUAGAUACCCUGGUAGUCCACGCUGUAAACGAUGAAUACUAGGUGUCGGGGGUCAGAAGACCUUCGGUGCCGCAGCAAACGCAAUAAGU